rnacentral:rRNA from 13 species
GCGGGCAGUUUGACUGGGGCGGUCGCCUCCUAAAAGGUAACGGAGGCGCCCAAAGGUUCCCUCAUCCUGGUUGGUAAUCAGGUGUCGAGUGUAAGUGCACAAGGGAGCUUGACUGUGAGACAGACAUGUCGAGCAGGGACGAAAGUCGGGACUAGUGAUCUGACGGUGGCUUGUGGAAGUGCCGUCACUCAACGGAUAAAAGGUACCUCGGGGAUAACAGGCUGAUCUUGCCCAAGAGUCCAUAUCGACGGCAUGGUUUGGCACCUCGAUGUCGGCUCGUCGCAUCCUGGGGCUGGAGUCGGUCCCAAGGGUUGGGCUGUUCGCCCAUUAAAGCGG